AGCACCAAUUUCAUAAGAGCUCAAAGAACUUUAAAUUCAUAAGAAAAUUUCCCAAUUUUGUGAUUAAUAUAGUUUACUUUAAUUGUAUUCAAAGGUUAAUAAUUUGUUUUAAAACUUUUGGCAGCAAAAAUAAAGGACUCAGAGUCCUGUCAUAAGAUGUAACCUUAUGUUCGCAUCUUUCCUGGGGGAUUCAUCUCCACAAAUCUGGCAGGACCCCAAAAUUUGAAGCCUUUUCUUUGAUUACGUAUUAGAAACAUAUUCCUUAACUGUUCCUCAAAGAUUUUCCCUAUGGUUCAUACCUGGGGACUGAGCAAGAGAAAACAUUGCAUAAUAGUCAGUGUUUUAAAACCCCUUAGAGCUCUCUAUCUGGUCUGUUUUGGGUCAUUUCCCUGAUGAAAAGACACAAAUCAACGGCAUUUUCUAUUACAUAUAAGUCAGCAUUAUUGUUUUAUUAUAUAAUAACAAAGACAUGUUGAUUCAUCAUCGAUUUCAGCACGGGUACUAAACCAACUCCAU